ACUGGCCGGGCACGAUGCCAGGCUCAGAGGCAGCCGGCAGUGCGGGACUUCCUGGCAGCCAGGCCGGGCUUCCUGUUUGCUCUGCCCGCCAGCCCCCCAGCUUCAGGCACAGCCUUAUAAGGACUUUUCUGUGGGCUCAGCACAGAAUUCAGCUCUUUCCUCUACCAGCUGAGAGAGAUGGGACGGACAACAGGCCUGUAGGCGCCAGCAGCCCCAGGGCAGGACUGGUUCCCACUUCCCAGGACCUACCACUCGUCAUGUGAGACACUUUGGCGAGCUUCUUCAUGACGUUAUCAAGGCGCGACUGAGUGCUGUCCAACUCGUGGGAGAAGUCAUCCAGCAUCCUGAGGACACAGAAGCAGGGCACUGGUCAGCAUGUGGAAAUCCCUUGGGGAUUUUGCAGCACGCUCACACACAUGGAUCAAAAUACUGAUGUGAGCAGAGUAUCACCUUGGCAGACAAAAUGAAUGUGGCCUCCUCUCCUGGAAGCACCCAAGGGAGGGGAAGAACCUGCUGAAACAGCAGCUCUGCUUUGGUGGGAAGUAACUCAGGAUUCCUGCCAGACUGAUCCUCCCCGUGUGUUUGUGGCUGUACUCUACACCCAUCUGCAAGGUGAGGAAUGGGAGGGGCUUCCUCCUUACAAAAGGAAAGUCUCAUUUAUAAUCUGUGAUUAGCAGAGACUAGUUAAAUCUAUGUGUCAGCUUGGACUUGAAAUCUCUUUUCUUGUUCAGGGCUUGUAGUUUAAAGUAAAAUCUUGUUUCAGUCAUGUAUCAAGUGGGAAUGAGAUCAGCAGUUGCUUUUAAGGUGCUUUUUAAGCUCUGCAUGGAAGUUACCUUUUUACUUCCUCCACACAGCGACUGUAAUAAAUCUGAAAGCCUUCCUGAAUC